GUGACAGGAGGUGACACAGGAGGUGACAGGAGGUGACACAGGAGGUGACACAGGAGGUGACACAGGAGGUGACAGGAGGUGACAGGAGGUGACAGGAGGUGACACAGGAGGUGACACAGGAGGUGACACAGGAGGUGACAGGAGGUGACACAGGAGGUGACAGGAGGUGACACAGGAGGUGACACAGGAGGUGACACAGGAGGUGACACAGGAGGUGACACAGGAGGUGACAGGAGGUGACACAGGAGGUGACACAGGAGGUGACACAGGAGGUGACACAGGAGGUGACAGGAGGUGACAGGAGGUGACACAGGAGGUGACACAGGAGGUGACACAGGAGGUGACACAGGAGGUGACACAGGAGGUGACAGGAGGUGACACAGGAGGUGACACAGGAGGUGACACAGGAGGUGACAGGAGGUGACAGGAGGUGACACAGGAGGUGACACAGGAGGUGACACAGGAGGUGACACAGGAGGUGACAGGAGGUGACAGGAGGUGACACAGGAGGUGACACAGGAGGUGACACAGGAGGUGACACAGGAGGUGACAGGAGGUGACAGGAGGUGACACAGGAGGUGACAGGAGGUGACAGGAGGUGACACAGGAGGUGACACAGGAGGUGACACAGGAGGUGACACAGGAGGUGACAGGAGGUGACACAGGAGGUGACACAGGAGGUGACACAGGAGGUGACAGGAGGUGACACAGGAGGUGACACAGGAGGUGACACAGGAGGUGACACAGGAGGUGACAGGAGGUGACACAGGAGGUGACACAGGAGGUGACACAGGAGGUGACACAGGAGGUGACAGGAGGUGACAGGAGGUGACACAGGAGGUGACACAGGAGGUGACACAGGAGGUGACAGGAGGUGACAGGAGGUGACACAGGAGGUGACACAGGAGGUGACAGGAGGUGACACAGGAGGUGACACAGGAGGUGACACAGGAGGUGACACAGGAGGUGACACAGGAGGUGACAGGAGGUGACACAGGAGGUGACACAGGAGGUGACAGGAGGUGACACAGGAGGUGACAGGAGGUGACACAGGAGGUGACACAGGAGGUGACACAGGAGGUGACACAGGAGGUGACAGGAGGUGACAGGAGGUGACACAGGAGGUGACACAGGAGGUGACAGG